rnacentral:rRNA from 1 species
GUGUAAUUACGGGCCAGCAGCGGUGGGAAGACGGAGGGCCCGAGCGUUGUCCGGAUGUAGUGGGCGGAAAGCGAGCGCAGGUGGUGGUAUAAGUCUGAAGUAAAAGGCAGGGGCUCAACCAUUGUGUGCUUUGGAAACUGUACAACUUGAGUGCAGAAGGGGAGAGUGGAAUUCCAUGUGUAGCGGGGAAAUGCGUAGAUAUAUGGAGGAACACCGGUGGCGAAAGCGGCUCUCUGGUCUGUAACUGACACUGAGGCUCGAAAGCGUGGGGAGCAAACAGGAUUAGAUACCCUGGGAGUC